GUGAUCAUGGUGUGUGGUUGACAUUUGCUAAUGUUCUCACUCUUGGGGCCUACACUGUUCCUGGUGUUGGCAGUUUGAUUGCUCAAAGACUAGAAGAACAGCUCUUACGCUGGCUUCGAGCAGCGGAACUCACCUGUGAUCGUGCAGCUCUUCUUGUUGCUCAAGAUCCAAAGGUGGUUGUUUCAGUGCUAAUGAAAUUAGCUGGCGGCUGCCCAUCUCUAUCGGACCAACUGAAUGUGGAUGCGUUCUUAGAGCAGGCUCGCUCUUAUGACAAAGCAUCAUCAAGCCCAGUCGGAUGGUAUAUUAGAAAUGCUCAAACAAGGCAACUUUCACAUCCACUCCCUGUUUUACGUGCACGCGAGAUUGAUGAAUGGUCAAGAAGUCAAGAGUAUAGG
rnacentral:misc_RNA from 1 species